AUGCCAUGAUGUGGACACUUAACCAGCAUACCCUUGAACCUCUCCCACGUUUCUUGUAAUGUUUCUGCCUGAAGCUCAAUAUCUCAUCAAUUUGUUU
rnacentral:snoRNA from 1 species